UACCGGCACCCCGAGUGGUCGGGACGUUUAUUGGGCCUAAAGCAUCCGUAGCCGGUUCUGCAAGUCUUCCGUUAAAUCCAACUGCUUAACAGGUGGGCUGCGGAAGAUACUAUAGAGCUAGGAGGCGGGAGAGGCAAGCGGUACUCGAUGGGUAGGGGUAAAAUCCGUUGAUCCAUUGAAGACCACCAGUGGCGAAGGCGGCUUGCCAGAACGCGCUCGACGGUGAGGGAUGAAAGCUGGGGGAGCAAACCGG
rnacentral:rRNA from 1 species